GAUGAACGCUGGCGGCGUGCCUAACACAUGCAAGUCGAGCGAAGCGCUUAAAUUAGAUUUCUUCGGAAUGACGAUUUUUGUGACUGAGCGGCGGACGGGUGAGUAACGCGUGGGUAACCUGCCUCAUACAGGGGGAUAACAGUUAGAAAUGACUGCUAAUACCGCAUAAGACCCCAGCUUCGCAUGAAGCGGUGGUAAAAACUCCGGUGGUAUGAGAUGGACCCGCGUCUGAUUAGCUAGUUGGUAAGGUAACGGCUUACCAAGGCGACGAUCAGUAGCCGACCUGAGAGGGUGACAGGCCACAUUGGGAAUGAGACACGGCCCAGACUCCUACGGGAGGCAGCAGUGGGGAAUAUUGCACAAUGGGGGAAAACCUGAUGCAGCGACGCCGCGUGAAGGAUGAAGUAUUUCGGUAUGUAAACUUCUAUCAGCAGGGAAGAAAGUGACGGUACCUGACUAAGAAGCCCCGGCGAAAUACGU
rnacentral:rRNA from 1 species